CAUCGUUGUAAUUCAACUACAAAAACA
rnacentral:tRNA from 1 species